UACGUAGGGACCGAGCGUUGUCCGGAUUCAUUGGGCGUAAAGAGCUCGUAGGCGGCUGCUCAAGUCGAAUGUGAAACCUCGAGGCUUAACCCCGUGCCUGCUUCCGAUACGGGCAGACUAGAGGUAUGCAGGGGAGAACGGAAUUCCUGGUGUAGCGGUGAAAUGCGCAGAUAUCAGGAGGAACACCGGUGGCGAAGGCGGUUCUCUGGGCAUUACCUGACGCUGAGGAGCGAAAGCGUGGGGAGCAAACAGG
rnacentral:rRNA from 1 species